rnacentral:lncRNA from 1 species
AGAAAAAUUCCUAAAGCACAGGUUAGCUGAUAGCUCAGAGGGUGUGUUUGGUUCCACGUAAAACUGUGGAAAAAAAAAUUUUCUGUGGGAAAAAAAUUUUACGUCGUUUGUGUUUGGUUUAUAGGAAAAGAAAAAUGGUUUUCCGUGACGGUUGUUUGGUUGAAAGAAAAAAAAAAAACUAUUUAAUAUAUAUUUUCUCUUAUUAUAUAUAUUAUUAUAUAUUAUUAAUAUAUAAUAAUUAUCAUAAUAUAUUUAAUUAUUAUAAUUUAUAUUUAUAAACAAGAUAUAUUUAAAAUAUAUUAUAUAAUAAAUAUAUAAUAUAAUAUAUAAUAAUAAUAUAUAUUUAAUAUUAUAAAAUAAAUUAUUAUAUAUUUAUAAANUAUAUAUAUAGUCCGACUACUAUACUUUUAUGAGUAUAGCCUAUUGUACUCAUAAGUUUCUAGCCGUUAGAUCUACCUUUUAAUUAUUUUCACUCGUUAGAUUAUACUAUUCAACCAACCACCCACUCAACCUUAGGGGGCCGACUAUCAACUCAACCGUAACCACUUUCAUCCUAACCGUAUAUUUUUUCAUCUAAACGGUCGAAAACUUAUGAGUACAAAGGACUCUAUAUUCGUAUGAGUAUAAUAGCCCCAACCGAU